AACGAACGCUGGCGGCAUGCCUAACACAUGCAAGUCGAACGAGAUCUUCGGGUCUAGUGGCGCACGGGUGCGUAACGCGUGGGAAUCUGCCCUUUGGUUCGGAAUAACAGUUGGAAACGACUGCUAAUACCGGAUGAUGACGAAAGUCCAAAGAUUUAUCGCCAGAGGAUGAGCUCGCGUAGGAUUAGCUAGUUGGUGUGGUAAAGGCGCACCAAGGCGACGAUCCGUAGCUGGUCUGAGAGGAUGAGCAGCCACACUGGGACUGGGACACGGCCCGGAUUCCUACGGGAGGCAGCAGGGGUGAAUAUUGGACAAUGGGCGAAAGCCUGAUCCAGCAAUGCCGCGUGAGUGAUGAAGGCCUUAGGGUUGUAAAGCUCUUUUACCCGGGAUGAUAAUGACAGUACCGGGAGAAUAAGCUCUGGCUAACUCCGUGCCAGCCGCCGCAGUAA
rnacentral:rRNA from 1 species